CAGGCAAAUUGAGGACGAACUUCGUGUCUGACUGUCGUAAAUGAUCUGGUGGACAUCUUCAGUUCACGCAGACACGUGCUUGCCACUACUGUCCGAGAGUUCUUUGCAUCCGUGUUUCAUUGGAACCGAACACAGACUACACGAGGCUAGCUAACGCCAGCAGAGCUAACUAGUAAGCUAAAUCAGCUAACACCAUGGAAGAACUGGGUGAGGUCACGGUGUCGAUUUUAAGGGCUGCAAACAUCAGCGAGGGAAUGAUGGGCACCCUUUCUCAUGAAGACUUGCAGGAUCUUUUCCCAGGCCCAGAGAACUUUUUAUGGAGAAAAGCAGUCUGGAGUGCCUGUCAGAAUGUACUGGAGGAAUCUGGCCAAGAUGACUCAAAAUCUUCAAGCAGCUCCUUCAUUAAUGAGUCACCCAAGCAACAGACAUCCACUACUUUAAAUGCAACUUGUGCAAAGUGCACAAGCCCUGAAAAGGUUGUGAAGUUAUCCUAUCAAGAAUAUGUAUUGCACACCGACACUGAGCUUGAGCAGGUCCGCCAACAAUACUUUGAGGUGAAGAGCGCAGCUGCAAAAUGUCAAAGGACCUCAGAUGUCGGCUCAUCCGAAAAACCAUGACUAGUUGCAUAGAUACCCAUCAAAACCAGAAAUUACAGCAAUGGCAAAGAGAAUAGUGCAGUACUACCCCAUGCUACAGGACCAAGGCAUCAAGAAUACAUGGCAUACAAGCCUGCAGAUAUCAACAGUCCAGACACCUACCGUCCAGCAACCUUGGCCAAGCACAACAAGACCCUACACACUUUGUUUAAAAGAAAAAACCCAAACCACCAGGAAGUCUCUAAGCUCCUGGAUUUGGAAUUUUCAGCCAGAAGAGCAUUCAUUGAUUCAAAUACUAUUCGCGAGGAGGACAGACACAAAAAGGUUCUAGAAGCAUAUCCUUGCUUCAAGGACAUUGGACAUGUGAUGGAGGAGCUUCAUCGCAUUUUGGAUAAAGAUAAUGGCAACUUCAUCAAUGAACUGAAGUAGAGCUGGGCGAUAGAACGAUAACGAUAUGUAUUGCGAAAUAACUUUUUCUCGAUAGAAAAAUUAAAUUAUUGC